GACGAACGCUGGCGGCGUGCUUAACACAUGCAAGUCGAACGAAGAGCGAUGGAAGCUUGCUUCUAUCAAUCUUAGUGGCGAACGGGUGAGUAACGCGUAAUCAACCUGCCCUUCAGAGGGGGACAACAGUUGGAAACGACUGCUAAUACCGCAUACGAUCUGACCUCGGCAUCGAGGAUAGAUGAAAGGUGGCCUCUACAUGUAAGCUAUCACUGAAGGAGGGGAUUGCGUCUGAUUAGCUAGUUGGAGGGGUAACGGCCCACCAAGGCGAUGAUCAGUAGACGGUCUGAGAGGAUGAACGGCCACAUUGGGACUGAGACACGGCCCAGACUCCUACGGGAGGCAGCAGUGGGGAAUCUUCCGCAAUGGACGAAAGUCUGACGGAGCAACGCCGCGUGAGUGAUGACGGCCUUCGGGUUGUAAAGCUCUGUUAAUCGGGACGAAAGGCCUUUUUGCGAAUAGUGAGAAGGAUUGACGGUACCGGAAUAGAAAGCCACGGCUAACUACGUG
rnacentral:rRNA from 1 species